UCAUUCUAGAUUUGAUCCAAAGCCCAUUGAGGUCAAUGGGAGUCCUUCCACUGACUUCAGUGGGCUUUGGAACAGACUCACUAAGA
rnacentral:pre_miRNA from 1 species